CCUGGCAGUUUUCAGGACAGUGGCUUUGUAAUAUAGCUUGAUAUCUGUCAACUAGAUUAGAUUCUUUUGCAGAUUAUUUCUCACCUUGGAUUAUGACAAAUUUAUGAAAAUGCAGUUUCUACUCAUGCACAUCAAUGUUUGUCUUCUAGACAUUUUUAAUUCAUUCUUAUGCUUUAAAAGUGAUAAGUCUGUUUUCAAAGUUCAACUUCCUUCUUACCUAGAAAACCUUUCAUAUGUUCUUCCCUCAGAAAUACACCAAAAUUGUUGCAGAUCUUGAUCAUGUUUCCUAUUUUUGUGUUUUGCAUAAUUGGAUUUCGCAAGUUUUUGGCUCCCUUUUAUAACACCAUUUGUUGUAUUAAAUCAGGCCUUGCCUCAGGAAAGCUGGCUGUGGCAGAUGCCUCAUUAUGCUGUGACCUGAGGGUUUUCACAUUGGACUAUGAGGGGAAUUUAAACCACUGAUCCCAAGGGGAAUGGGAAACAUACAAAAUAUAAGAAUAUUUUAAUUAUUCAAUCUUCCUGUAAUGACAGAGUUAUUUGGCAAAAUGAUAGGCAGGAUUAAAGUCACUCUUUUUCCAUUCCACAGUUGGUAAAAUCUUUUAUUUAUUGCAGGGUAAUCUAGCUAUUACGGUUUAGUCUUUAAGACACUAGGACCUUAAGUUGCCAAAAAUAAUGUAAGUUCCUUUGACAAUAUUUUAAAGAUAGGCUGUUUCCUUACUCUUCCUCCCACCCUACUGGAUUAUUUUGAAACAACUGCCGAACAUCACACAGGAUAGAUUUGGAAAAGGAAAAUGGCUUACAUAAUCUUUGACAAGUGGAAAUGGAAGCCUUCAGUCAUCUGUUCUGAACUCUGUCCUUUUUGGUUCUCUAGAGAAACCAAAGGCAGCCCUUGCUUAGUUGUCCAGUUUGAGUCUUGACUUGUGUAUAGUUAAUUAUCUCUGCUUGCUGUUAGUCUAUUAUGUGUGACUUCGGCAGAACACUGUGGGAUGAUUUGGUGACUGAUGCUAAAUUCAACUUUAAAGGUGAAAAUGUUUCUGAGACUGAUUUAAAUAAGUAACCCUGGAAUAAUUUUGUAGGUUUAAAAAUGAGCAUAUUUGUUGAUGUUAUUGUAAAUCAAGUUACUCACUAUGGAAGAAGGGAGAUACAAAAUGAAAGAAGUUAAAGAACCCUGUUUUAUUGAUUUUGAACUGGAGAUAUUUGUGUGAAUGUGUGUGUAGGUGUAUGUAUUUUCCUCUUUCAUCCCAAUAUUACCCCUCCCUUCCCCUCUCCCAGAUCUGGCUUCAUCCUCUAGUCUAGAAGCACUAACCUAGUAAUAAUGAGCAUACCUAGUUCCCUUGGUCUUGCUUUCUAAAUACUUUUCCACAGAACCAAAAAUGUUGGUUGAUUCCGUGUUUGAGGUAAAUAAAGUGUAAGGUGAGUUUGGAACAUCUUGAGUCAGAAGAGAAGAGAAUGCCCAAAGACUGAUGGGACACAAAAAUUGGCUUCAAGUGCCAAAUUUGGGAGAAUUUGAGACUAAAGAAAAAAAUUGUGAUAAUGGAUUAUAGAACAUUUGUCUUAGUCUGCUCAGGCAGCUAUAAAAAAUACCACAGACUAGGUGGUAUUCAACAUUUAUUUCUCACAGUUCUGGAGACUGGCAAGUUCAAGAUCAAGGUGCUGGCAGACUUGGUGCCUAUGAGGACCCUCUUCCUGGUUUUCAGGUCCCUGAAGCAACCACCUCGGAAGCUUCCCUGUGUCACUCUGCUCUGUGUCAUAGCACAACUUGAAUCCAUGGUUUCUACUGCUCCUCCAUGCAUCCUUGUACUAAGAAUGCUGAGGGUUAAUUGCUUCUCAUUGCCCAAAACAAGUCAAAUGAAUUCUGUUGGCAUUAAAGAUUUGCCUUUUAUGUUGUGCUUGGCCACUAAGUCUCUUCUCACUUUAAAAACAAGGUUCAUGAAAAAGAUGCUGUUUUCAUGAAGUAAGCUCUAUCCUUUCAAGACAACUUCAUUGCUCACCCUGUUCUUUACUUCUCUGCAAAGCUACGUGUUUUAUUUUUUUUAAAUUUAGUAUAGAAUGGGACAGAAGCAUGUCUCCAAAGAGCCAGCACCUAGUUUCCCGUCUGCAGAAAAUAGAUGCCACCUGACAGCAACUGCAGCGACUAUUGGCCAAGAUGUGAGAUGGUUACUUCCUCACGAUGAAGCAACUCCAGUUGAAGGAGUUAUUAUGGUGCAGAGAAUUUACAAGAAUUUCUCAUGAACUUGCUCUAGCCACACAGCUAUUCAAAAGGGAAUAUCCGCCAACCACAUUGCCUGGAAUCUACUGGAGAGGAAACUUUAUUUAAUGUAAUGUUGACUUAGGUGGAAUCAGACAGAGCUGGAAUUUGUAUUAGUCAAAUUUAUUGCAAUAAAUCUACCCUCACUUCAUUUCUUUGGAGUAGUUGAACCUGGACCUUAGAGCAAAGAGGGCAAAGGCCAUCUCAUAGCUAUGCGCCCAUGAUUGAGGCCACUUAAUCCAUUCUGACACGUGUUCUGUAGAAUAUUCAUUAGGAGUUGUCCAGGCAGCCAUAGGCCAACAGUUAGCCAGACAAUAUUUUUAUUGCUGAAGCACCCUAGGGUUCUGAAUUGAAGUGUAGGAAAUGUUAUUUGUAGUUGGAAUUCCAAGUACUCUCCCAGGAGUGUUGGUAUUUUAUAAUCUUUAUUUCUGCACCCAAACACUGGAGGUCACUAUUUAUUCAUAAAUGCCCCUGGAUUUGACUGCAAACUUACGUCUAUGUACAAAAGGUCAUAUCUAAAAGGGCCUGGAAUUGAUCGUGGGAUUUUUUCCUUUAAUUAUGUAACUACAGAGAUCCGCUUAUAUAAACAUAAAAUGUAAAUAUAAAUUAUCAUGAUCCCCAUGGGAUUGUAACCUAGGAAUAAAGCAGAUAGUAUUAAAUCUAAAAUAUAAAC